AGGCUAGAAACACUGAGGUAUGAGUAUAAUGCGAAGAAAACCCCAGAACAACGGAUUGAGUUCCUGGAGCAGCUGAUUCUAAGGAAAAUGGAGAAACCUGGAAAGAUACUGAAAUCUGAGAGGAGGGCUCAGGAAUCAAUUAGUCCAGGAGUUCCAACUGCAUUCAGCGACGAAACAUACCAGUCUGAAGGUCACUCUUCUGCAGUGGAAAAUGGAGAAAGCUUCUCAGGAUCUUUUGAGGAUGCAAAG